GAAAAAGAUACACUUAAGGUCGCUCGGAGUAAAACCGCGUUAGUCAUCGAGUAGUAGUAGAGAGUGUUACGUCCAUUUAUUAAAUGUACCUACUUGUAAAUAAGUUCCAUAAAGAAUGUGUGUAAUAAUCGUAUAAUAAUUUCAAGCUUCUAGAUUUCUGACACAUAGAAUAUAUAAUAUACACGUCACACAUUUUCUUUGUAUACAAUACGUAUACGCAUACAAUUGAUGCAUUAUUAAUUAUAAAAAAAUGCAUAUGUUGGAAAAUUGCGUAUAUCUUAUUGUAACGUAGUAAAACAUGAUAUUGUUUCAUUUAUAUGGUCUUCUCGUGAUUAAUUGAAUCGGUGGAAGGGCCUGGAAAUAAAAAGAAUUUGAUAGGACUGACAUCAUCAAUUCGCAGACGCAGAAUGUUGCAGCAAAACAUGGUGGUUGUAAAGAACGCUGUGAAGCGUUAUGGGAAAGAAGAGUUGGUGCUCGACGGAUUGAAUAUGACGGUUUCAAACGGCUCCAUUGUGUGGCGAGCGUGGCACAGAGAAAUGUGCGCUGCUUAGUAAAUAAACGGUCCGAGUUCAAAUCCAGCGAGGACACCGCUGGUAUUCUCAGACGCCACUUCUCGAAAGAGAAGUGGCAACCACCGAGAGAAUCUCGCCACACAUGCCCCUUUAGCAGCUAACGAGAGGGGGACCGAGAGGAUUGCCGCUAUAAGCAACCAACCCGCUUGCUGGAUAGGGCACUCUCUUGUCCUGAGAGGUGAGAAAUCACCCUCAAAGGCGGAUGAUCUAUUUAAAGUAGUCAACGACAUAGGAUCAGGCAGGCAAGGGGAAACCACCUGAUUAUUUUCCCAAGACAGCGCCUCAUGUAUGUAUGACUCUUCGAGAGCCAACUCAUGAGACGCCACCACGCCCUGUCAAGGGCAAAGGAUUGAGAAGGAGAGAUUGUCAUCGUUUGCAAAAAGUAAACUCUUUGGGGAUUUAUAAGUAUUAUUAUAAUUUCAUAUGGAAUUUCUGACAAUGAGUCUUGUCUUUAGAAUUUCUAUAGCAUUUAAAUAUAUUUGUUACAAAUAAAGUCUAAGAAAAUAUGUAGAAAGUGAGUGCCAAUGUG